rnacentral:rRNA from 1 species
UACGUAGGUGGCAAGCGUUGUCCGGAUUUAUUGGGUUUAAAGGGUGCGUAGGCGGUGAUUUAAGUCAGUGGUGAAAUACGGCAGCUCAACUGUCGAGGUGCCAUUGAUACUGGGUCACUUGAGUACUGAUGAGGUAGGCGGAAUGGACGGUGUAGCGGUGAAAUGCUUAGAGAUCGUCCAGAACACCGAUAGCGAAGGCAGCUUACUAAGGAGUAACUGACGCUGAGGCACGAAAGUGUGGGGAUCAAACAGG